rnacentral:rRNA from 1 species
GUGUCAGCCGCCGCGGUAAUACGAGUGGUGCAAGCAUUAUUCGGAAUCAUUGGGCGUAAAGGGUGCGUAGGUGGCAAACUAAGUCUACUGUUAAAUGUCUCGGCCUAACCGAGAACCUGCAGUGGAUACUGGUAUGCUAGAGGAUGGGAGAGAGAAGUGGAAUUCUCGGAGUAGCGGUAAAAUGCGUAGAUCUCGAGAGGAACACCGAUGGCGAAAGCAGCUUCUUGGCCUGAUCCUGACACUGAUGCACGAAAGCGUGGGGAGCAAACAGGAUUAGAUACCCCCGUAGUCC